rnacentral:rRNA from 1 species
UACGGGGGGGGCAAGCGUUGUUCGGAAUUACUGGGCGUAAAGGGCGCGUAGGCGGCCUUCUAAGUCGGACGUGAAAUCCCUCGGCUUAACCGAGGAACUGCGUCUGAUACUGGAAGGCUUGAAUCCGGGAGAGGGAUGUGGAAUUCCAGGUGUAGCGGUGAAAUGCGUAGAUAUCUGGAGGAACACCGGUGGCGAAGGCGGCAUCCUGGACCGGUAUUGACGCUGAGGCGCGAAAGCUAGGGGAGCAAACGGG